ACAAUUUAGCCAUCAUUCUAAACAGGCAGCCAACAAUUUAGCAAAUCAUUCUAAAAUCAGCAAUUUAGCAAUUUAACAAUUUAGCCAUCUUUCUAAACAGGCAGUCAAUAAUUUAGCAAGUCGUUCUAAAAUCAGCAAUUUAACAAUUUAACAAUUUAGUCAUCAUUCCAAACAGGCAACCAACAAUUUAGCAAAUCAACAGUACAAACACCUUGUAUGCAACAAAAAUCAGCAAAUCAACACAAACAUCUUGUUCAAAUACCUUGUUCAACAAAUUAGGAAAAUCAACAAAUUCCAAACCUUUGGAGUUUUGACGACGAAUGGCCGAGCGAGGCGAGACGAGGCCGAGGCAAGGGUGGAAUCGUGAAUCGCGUUAAAAAAGACAGCAAGAUGGUGGAUUCGUGAAUCGCGUUCAGAAAGCAAGAGGGAGAGAGAGAUGAAGUCUGGAUCUUGAAGAGAGGAAGAGAGAUUUGUUUAAGGAAGAGAGACUGAACCUAUAAUUUUUUUUUAGGUGGUCGCGGCCACCGCCCGUCCCUACCAAGCUUCGCCAUUGUGUAAGCAUUGUUUCGAGUCAUUUGUGUCGAUAAGGCCCUUAGGCCAUUCUUUUCCAUAAUUUCAACUUGUAUGUGCUUGUAAUAUCAUUA
rnacentral:lncRNA from 1 species